rnacentral:sRNA from 1 species
GAGACCGGCCCCUCGUGCGGGAUGUUCACAACCCCUUUGUUGUCCGACUCUGUUGCCUCCGGGGCGACCCUGCCUCCGGGCGGGGGCCCCGGGGUGGACAUUUCAAACUCUUGCGUAACUUUGCAGUCUGAGUAAAUUUAAUUAAUAAAUUAAAACUUUCAACAACGGAUCUCUUGGUUCUGGCAUCGAUGAAGAACGCAGCGAAAUGCGAUAAGUAAUGUGAAUUGCAGAAUUCAGUGAAUCAUCGAAUCUUUGAACGCACAUUGCGCCCCCUGGUAUUCCGGGGGGCAUGCCUGUUCGAGCGUCAUUUCACCACUCAAGCCUCGCUUGGUAUUGGGCGACGCGGUCCGCCGCGCGCCUCAAAUCGACCGGCUGGGUCUUUCGUCCCCUCAGCGUUGUGGAAACUAUUCGCUAAAGGGUGCCGCGGGAGGCCACGCCGUAAAACAACCCCAUUUCUAAGG